rnacentral:rRNA from 1 species
AGCGAGCGCUGGCGGCAGGCCUAACACAUGCAAGUCGAACGAACCCUUCGGGGUUAGUGGCGGACGGGUGAGUAACACGUGGGAACGUGCCUUUAGGUUCGGAAUAACUUAGGGAAACUUGUGCUAAUACCGAAUGUGCCCUUCGGGGGAAGGAUUUAUCGCCUUUAGAGCGGCCCGCGUCUGAUUAGCUAGUUGGUGAGGUAAAGGCUCACCAAGGCUACGAUCAGUAGCUGGUCUGAGAGGAUGACCAGCCACAUUGGGACUGAGACACGGCCCAAACUCCUACGGGAGGCAGCAGUGGGGAAUCUUGCGCAAUGGGCGAAAGCCUGACGCAGCCAUGCCGCGUGGAUGAUGAAGGUCUUAGGAUUGUAAAAUCCUUUCACCGGUGAAGAUAAUGACUGUAGCCGGAGAAGAAGCCCCGGCUAACUUCGUGCCAGCCGCCGCGGUAACAC